UAUUAAUGAAAAUUUAGUUUUAAAGGAUGUAUAAGACUAUACGAUAUAAUAAUUGAAACUAUAAACCAUAGCAGCAAAAAUCUUUUGGGGAGAAAAUCAGAUUUGAAACAAAACUAUGUUCCACGGGGACACAUCCCCUGCUGUUUUGGACCUGGACCGGUAGUGGGGACAGUUUUUUGCUGUAUCUGACCUGUUUCUUGUGCAUGCCAGACGACAGGGAUGUUUCCUGCAAGCAGUGGGGAUGGUUCUAGGCCGUUUGGGACAUCCAGGUAUCCCCAGGACGAUUAGGGGACUCCUAGCAGUACCUGAACCGACAUUCCCUUCUGCCCAGAACGUCCACCAAUGCACAAAACCAAAAAAAAGUAAUAUUUAAAAAUUCAUUUUUAACCUGGCCGGCCCCACCAACAACAUAAAACAACAAUAAAAAUUAAAAACCCUAAUCCAACAAUAAAACGAGCAAAAAGAAGGAAAAAGACAUUUCAUUUGGCAUUUGCAAAGUUGGAGAAUAGCAGCAAGAGGAGGAGCAGCUGAUCAAGGAGUGAAGAGCAGGUGAAAGAGGAGCUUUCUUUGACAUUCUUAUACAGACAAAAUCAUGAGCAGCGAUGAGAAUAGUAGUGGGAGUAGUGAUAGUGAGGGUGAUGAAGUUGAAAUUGAAGAUAGAACUCAAACUAGACCAAGAACUAGAAGUGGGGCAGCCACUGGAAGGUUUUCAGGAAGUCUGAAUGUAGCAGGGGCAGCAUGUUCCUCAAACCCAUUUGAAUGUCCUUCCCAAAUCCUCAAACACUAUGCAAAAGGCCCAUUUGACCCCAAAAUACCUUUACUGCAAUUUGCUACAAGAAAUUGACAAAGACAAGAAAAAAAAUUCAGGGGGUAGUAGAAAAUGGGAGUGUCAUUUGUGCCACAAACAUAUUAAUGACAGCUAUACUAAAGUCUAUUGCAAUCUUUUGGGCAUAAGUGGUCAAGGGGUGAAAGGUUGCAAAAAGAUAACUCAAGCUGAAAGAAUUGAGGGAACUAGAUUGCAUAUGGAUCGUGAAGCAUUAAGUAAAGGGACUUCAACAGAGAAUUUGCAGCCUACUAUGUUAAUAGAUGAUGCUUCUCAUGGGGAAGAGGGUGCCAGUUUUGCUAGAGGAAAGACAAAGAAGACUAAGAGAGAAACUAAUGUUGCUGAUUUGUUUAACAUACAAUCAUGAGAUAAGGAUGAAGCCUCUAUUGCUAAGUUUCUUUAUGCUCAUUCUAUACCAUUCUCUGUCUCACGUUAUUCAUAUUUUAAACAAAUGUUCAAAGAUCUCAUAGCUGCUGGUCCCUCAUUUGUUCCACUUGGCGAAACUAAGCUACGCACCACCCUUCUUGAUAAAGAGUACUCCAAGGUGACUGUUUUGAUGGAAGAUAUGAGACAAACAUGGAUGAGGGAUGGAUGCUCUAUAAUCAUGGAUGGCUGGACUGAUACCAAACGUCAGCCACUCAUUAAUCUUAUUGCCACUAGCACUGUAGGCUCUUAUUUUCUUAGAGCUAUAGAUUGUUUAGGGAAUAGGAAGGAUGCAACCUUGCAAUUUCAGAUUUUGAGAGAGGCCAUAGAAGAGGUUGGAGCCUCUGAAUAUCGUACAGGUAAUGACCGAUUCAGCCUAUGUGUAAGCUAGCUGGAAUGAUGGUAGAGAGUGCUUAUAAGCAUAUGUUUUUUGACCCUAUGUUGUGUGCAUGCAUUGAACAAUACUUUGAAGGAUAUUGGGAAAAGUCAUUGGGUGAAGACAAUGGUGUUAGAGGCUAGAGAUGUGCAAAUUUUCAUUUGCAACCAUCACACUUCACUUACAUUGUAUAUGACAUUUUUCGAGGAAGGAAUUCCUCAAGCUUGUGGAGACUAGAUAUGCCAGCGACUUUAUUUUGUUAGAGAGGAUGCUUGAGGUCCAGGAGGCUCUACAACCCGCUGGUCAAUGCUGAGUGGGUUAGUUGGCAUGAGGCAAGCACAUGAGAGGGAAGAAGUGUGAAGCGAAAAUUCCUUGAUGAUAACUGGCGGUUCACAAUGAGAUAUAUUUGCUCCUUCAUUGAGCCUAUUGUACAAGUGAUUGGAUAUGCUGAUAUUGACUCUCCUAACCUUGGAAAGAUUUAUGAGACAUUUGAUAACAUGCUUGGGCAGAUGAAGCAAGUUAUUCAUAGCAUGGACCCUACUUUGGGAUUUUAUGAGGUGUAUCUUAGGCCCAUUGUGAUGCGAUGGUGGAACAUCAUGAACAACC